rnacentral:pre_miRNA from 1 species
ACCUUAACUAUUAAAAGUUUCGUUUUGGUCCCUUAACUUACUUUUUGGUUUCGUUUUGAUCCUUUAACUUACUUUUUGGUUUUGUUUUGGUCCCUUAACUCAUCCUCUGUCAACCACUUUGGUCCUUUAUGUUAGGAUGAAUGUAUUAGAGUUAAGGGACCAAAAUGAAACCAAAAAAUAAGUUAAGGGACCAAAACGAAACCAAAAAGUAAGUUAAAGGACCAAAACGAAACUUUUAAUAGUUAAGGGA